rnacentral:rRNA from 1 species
UACGUAGGCAGCAAACGUUGUUCGGAAUUACUGGGCGUAAAGAGUGUGUAGGCGGUUUCGUAAGUUUGGUGUGAAAUCUCCCGGCUUAACUGGGAGGGUGCGCCGAAAACUGCGAGGCUUGAGUACUGGAGAGGAGAGCGGAAUUCCUGGUGUAGCGGUGAAAUGCGUAGAUAUCAGGAGGAACACCGGUGGUGUAGACGGCUCUCUGGACAGUCACUGACGCUGAGACACGAAAGCGUGGGGAGCAAACAGG